UACGGAGGGUGCGAGCGUUGUCCGGAAUCAUUGGGCGUAAAGGGCGCGUAGGUGGCCCGGUCAGUUCGUGGUGAAAGCGCGGGGCUCAACCCUGCGUCGGCCAUGAAUACUGCCGCGGCUGGAGCACUGUAGAGGCAGGCGGAAUUCCGGGUGUAGCGGUGGAAUGCGUAGAUAUCUGGAGGAACACCGGUGGCGAAGGCGGCAUCCUGGACCGGUAGUUGACGCUGAGGCG
rnacentral:rRNA from 1 species